GAGCUGGAGUGGGGACAGCCUUUCCCCGCCGAGGUUGCUUUGUGAGAACCACUGGGAUGUAAUAAAACCCAUCAAACAAAAACCAGCAUCAGCAGAUAAAUAGAAGUGGACGCUGAGUGCCCACAGUAACUCACGGGCUCCCAGAGGAUGUUCCAGAGCACCCGAGGCUGGUGUCUGCCUGGUUUUGUACCACUUGCACCAAACCCUGUGAUUUAGGGUUUAACUUUGCUGGAGAUGGGGAGGAACAAGAGGUGUGAGUUGUGCCACCAGUGGCUCCAGGUGUCCCUGCUCCUACCCGCAGCUCCUGCUGGAUCUGUGGGGUGGAGCUUUCGUGGCAGCGCGGAUUAAAGCCACACCUUGAGCAUCCCUGUGGAGCUGGGUGUGACCGUCCCGAGCCGCAGAGCCUCCGCAGGGCGCCAGGGCCCUGAAACACGAGCUGAAACAAGAGGGGUGUGAGGCAGCGGGGAGAGGUUUCUGAGCACGGCUUUGGGCUGAGAAACCGGGACAGGGGGGCCAGAGGCACACACGAAACCUGGGACCACAGUGGGAGUGGAGCAUUUCUCCACGUGGGGCAAAGGACAAACGUGGCCAAGGAACCGCAGAGAUGAUGAAAAGCUGCUGCAGAAUCACCUCCAACCCCUGAGGGCAAAGCCGGCCUGCAGCUUGCCCUGCCCUGCUUCUCCUCCCCACCGCGGGGGGAAUGACCGAGCUGGGCAGAGGGAGGGAUCCCACCCCAGGCUCGGGGACGCUCCAGGGAACAGGGAGCGCUCCUCGGCACAUCCCCGUUCCUGGGCUCCAUCGCCGUGCUCCAGCCACCCUGGAGCCUGGCACAGGGCUCGGCUCCCGGGAUCCUGCCGCGGGCUGCCCUCCCCUCUCCUGGCACUCCCGUGGUCCUGAUGUGCCAGCUGAGCCCUCUGGGCCCCGGAGAUGUGGAUGCAGCGCUGGGCAGGGAACUAUUCCCAAUGGAAGGGUCCUGCCUCACCAGGUGCCAGCUCUGUCUCCAGCUGCUGUUCCUUACUUUAGGUAAAAUACACACUCUGAUGUGUUGGUCACUUUAAAGGGGUCAUUCCCAGCUUUCUCACGGCUCCCCCAGCAGGGAGGAAAAAGAUGCUACUCCCUUUUCCUUCUGGGUAUUGCCAGGAGUACC